rnacentral:lncRNA from 1 species
AGAUAUCACAACACAACUCUAGACACAAAUUAAAAUAAUACAAGCUUUAUAUUACAAGUCAGGGGCCUCGAGGGCUCGAAUACAUAAGCUCGAAUACACAAGAGUCAGCGGAAGCAACAUUAUCUGAGUACAGACAUGAGUUAAACAAGUUUUCCUUAAAAAGGCUAGCACAAAGCAACAUCGGUCAAAAAGGUAAGGCCUCCUGCCUGGGAGCCUCCUAACUACUCCAAGUCGUCAGCGGUCAUCACGUAGUAGUAGGCACCCUCGGGGUAGCAGUAGUCAUCAGUGGUGUCGUCUGGCUCCUGGGAUCCGUCAUCUGGUUGCAACAAUCGGGCAUGGGGGAAAAGAGGUAGCAAAGCAGCCGUGAGUACUCAUCCAAAGUACUCGCAAGACUUACAUCAGAUCUAAACUAAGUAUGCAUCUGAAUCAAAGGAAUGGGUUGUAUCUGUGGACUAAACUGCAAAAUGCCAAAAGGGAAGGGGAAAGCCUAGCCUAUCGAAGACUAGCAUCUUCUGGAAACCACCAUCUUGCAGCAACAGGAGGGAGUAGAGUAGCAUAAAGUAAAGUAGCAGUAAUGUUAUCAACCUCGGCCAGAGAUCCUUCCUCGACUCCCUGCGAGAAAGCAAUCCCAGAGCCAUACUAUCUAGUUAUCAUCUCAUAUCCAAGUCUCAUCUCCAUGUCUCAUCUCAAGUAUCCAGUUCUAGUUGUAUCGAUCGGGAUACAACUCCAAGUGUCCGUUACCGUAGGACAUGCUAUCGAUAGAUGUUUUCUUCCCUGCAGGGGUGCACCAACUUACCCACCACGCUCGAUUAACUUCGGCCGGACACACUUUCCUGGGUCAUGCCCGGCCUCGCCCAAACAAUAUGCCGCAACCCGACCUAGGCUUAAUAGAGAGGCCAGCACGCCGGACUAAACCUAUGCCCCCAGGGGUCAUGGGCCAUCUCACCGGGAACUCCUGCACGUUGCGUACGCGGCCGGUGAGCAGAUCUAGCUACCUCCUUCAACAAGGUAGGUGCUUUCCAGUCCAACCCGGCGCGCGCCGCUCAGUCGCUGACGUCUAAUAAGCUUCGGCUGAUGCAUACGACGCAGAACGCCCAUACUAUGCCCACGUGAUGGUUAGUGCUAUCAGACCAGAGGCCCUUCAGAUCAAAUAUCCAAAUCAUAGUGGAUUAGGAGCACGCGGUAACGAGCAGAGACUCACGACCGAUGUGACCCCGUCGCCCCGUCUCGAGUACUUGCGGCAAGGGCUAAGAAUGCCCGGCCACGCCUCGUAAGUAUCUCGCGGGCACCUUCCAGGUCAACCCUACUCCACAUCACUCGCUAUUCAGCUCGCGCGGGUACCCCUCAGGGCCGACCCGUCUUUAGUAACAUGGCUCAGUGCAAAGUCAUAGUAACCAUAGUAACUGUGUGUCUAACACCAAGGGGAAAACCCGAGGAAUCACCCCCGGUGAAUCCCACUCGAUGUUAUCAUCAAGGUGAACGUAAGAGGAUCCACCCUCGAGGUUCACACUUGAGGGGUUGCACGACAGAGCGGUAACGGAAGUGGUUAAGGAGGAAAUCACCCUCGAUGACCUCGACCGUAUAGCUACACUACGGAGAUCUCAUCAGGAGUGAUGUAAGAGGUUUCACCCUCGGCACUCGAUGGUAACUCUGCAGAGUCGUACAACUAGGGGGGGUGAUGUGCGGUGUCGGGGCCUGGACGUCGAUCACGUUGAUCGAGUCAUCGAACAUAAAGCGGGGCAAUUGGGACAAGGUGGGGUCACUGAUGGAUCACUAACCAUCCUAUACUAAGCAGUUUAGAAUAAGCAGGUAAGGUAUGAAAGCAGGUAACAACAACAGGCUAUGCAUCAGAGUAGGAUCAUACAGAAAGCAGUAGCAGUUCUAAUGCAAGCAUGAGAGGAAAAGAAAUGGGCGAUAUCGGAAUGCUCAAGGGGGUUUGCUUGCCUGGAAGCUCUGCUGAAAAAGAAGUAUCGUCGUCGACGUAGUCGAACACAGGGGCAACAUCAGUCUCGGAGUCUACUGGAGAGAAGAGGGGGAAGAAACAGUAAAUUCUAAGCAAACAUAUGCAUGACAAGACAACAAGCGGUACUAGGGGUGUUCUAACGCGGUGCUACACGAUACUGGUGAAGGGGGAUAACAUCCGGGAAAGUUUUCCUGAAGUUAGGCAUUUUCGGACAAAGGAAUGGGAGGAAGAAGGUUGCGUGUUUGCUAUGCUAGGUGCGUGUGGCGGACGAAGGGCCGCGUAUUCGGAUUCGUCUCGUCGUUCGGAGCAACUUUCAUGUAUAAAACUUUUUCAUCCGAGCUACGGAUUAUUUUAGUAUUAUUUUUCAAUGAUUUACUAAUAUUCUAGAAUUUCUGAAAUUAUUAUAUUUAAUUAAUUCGAAUUGACCAAGUCAACUUGACUAGUCAAAAGGGCAGGGGGUGGCCCACAUGCCAUAUACUAUUCACCUAAACAAAUAAAUAAACCUAACUUAUUAAAGGGGGCCUACAUGUCAUCUACUAAUAGACUAACUUAGAACUAAACUACUACUACUACUAAGCCUAGCCUAAUUAAACCAGGGGCCGGCCGGCGGCAUAGCCAGCCAUGUCUGUACUCACGCACGUAGAGUACACACUACACACGCACAAUGGCCAUGGCCAUGGCCAUAACCAGCGCAGCCGCAUGAGAAAGUAGCAGCAGCAAUUAGAGUAGCAGCAGCACUAGCUAGUGGGAUAGGAGGAGCGGCAGCAGCACUUAACAGCAGCGGCGCCGGCGCAACAGCAAGCAGUGACGGGAGCAGGGCGCAGCAGCGGCCGGCAGCAGCAAACGGAGCAGCAGCAAGCCGAGGCCAUGCGUGGGCGUGCACCACAGCAGCAAGCCGCGACGAGGCCACGCAUGGGCGUGCGCGCACAACAGCAAUAGCGACAGGGCAGGAGCAGCAACUACACGCACACACGUACACAUACACGGGGGUUCGAGCGAUGGCGAACAACGGCGUAAAGAGACACGGAUUGAAGGGGGAAAGGGGUGGAAUCGGCCGAGGAGCUCACCACCAAGCUCGUAGACGUGGAUUGGAGGCGCGGGGGCGACCGGAUGCGACGAGCUCGACGACGAGAGACGACGGCCGUGGCAGAAAAUCAGCUCGAUCCCGAGCGUAUAGUGCGGCUCCGGUCGAACGGAUGCACGGAGAUGACGGAGUCGGUGACUAGGAAGUCCCUGGACAAGCUCCCGGCCGCCGGGGAGGCCAGUGGCCACGGGGACGGCGACGGCGCAUCGAUGGUAGCUCGGGCACGAGGCUCUCAGGAGAAACGUGAGUGGGAGAGGGGAAUUUUGCGGGCUAGGGUCUGUCUACAGCGACGAGGGGGAUCUUAUCCUUCUCGAUGUGUCGUGGAUGCUCGACACGAGCUAAUCGGG